rnacentral:tmRNA from 1 species
GGGGCUGAUUCUGGAUUCGACGGGAUUUGCGAAACCCAAGGUGCAUGCCGAGGGGCGGUUGGCCUCGUAAAAAGCCGCAAAAAUAGUCGCAAACGACGAAAACUACGCUUUAGCAGCUUAAUAACCUGCUUAGAGCCCUCUCUCCUAGCCUCCGCUCUUAGGACGGGGAUCAAGAGAGGUCAAACCCAAAAGAGAUCGCGUGGAAGCCCUGCCUGGGUUGAAGCGUUAAAACUUAAUCAGGCUAGUUUGUUAGUGGCGUGUCCGUCCGCAGCUGGCAAGCGAAUGUAAAGACUGACUAAGCAUGUAGUACCGAGGACGUAGGGAUUUCGGACGCGGGUUCAACUCCCGCCAGCUCCACCA